rnacentral:tRNA from 1 species
GCCGAUGUAGCUCAGUUGGUAGAGCAACUGAUUCGUAAUCAGUAGAUCGUCGGUUCAACUCCGAAGAUUGGCUCCA